GUGCAGUUUCAAGGAUGGUGGUCGUUGUGUGCCUACAACAGCUUUCAAGUGAAAAAUAAGACAUUAGCAAGUUGUGAUUCACACAAGGCCUGUACUCACUCAGCGCACAAUUAACUGGCGGUCCUAUUGAAGUAAGUUGUGACUCAAGGCCAACCGACGUUUGACUGCAAUUGCUGAUCGAAAGAAGCGUGCCAGAAAAACCCAUCCUGGACGAGUUCGCUGACGUUUCAAGGAGGAGCUGGGCUGCUAUCGAGGCGGGGAAGUCGGCAUCGACGUAGACCCGGACGUCCAGCCUCGUUUCUUCAAGCCUCGCACCGUACCGCUGGCCUUCAGGGAAGCUGUGGACACCGAGCUGGAGGACCAGAUCCGUGGCGGACUCUGGGAACAGAGUGACACCGAUACCUGCUCCUGAUCCGGUCACGGAGAGCGCCGCUGCAUCUGCACGGCAUGCUCCCGUUCCCGGACAACUGGCCUCCACUCCCGACCGGCUGCCGGCUCCUGAUCGAGCGCCUGCUCCUGGCCGGCCGCCUGUUCCGGCGCCGCCCGGGCUGACCGGAGCGGUGCCCGCGCCGGGUGUGACCACCGUCCCGCCGUCCGCACCCUCUCCCAGCGCGCCGCGGUACCGGCUGAGAGACCGGUCCACCCUGCAGCCCCCAGACCGAUACGUGGCGAGCUAUGAGUAGGCGUUUUGUUUCAGUUGUUAUUUGUUCUGUGAGGUGCAUAUUUAUUUGUUUGUCCAUGCUGUGCAAGUAUUCGGGGUGGAGGAGUGUCAUGGAGCUGAGCUGGCGGCCGCCGCGCCGGUGCACGCGUACUUGCGCUCGUGACAUGCGCUCAUGACACUCGUAUGUGAACCGUGGUGGCGUUGCCUCUGUGACCCGGGGGCUACCUGGCCGGCUCGAAUACAGUUUGGACCGAGA
rnacentral:lncRNA from 1 species